UACGUAGGGUGCGAGCGUUGUCCGGAAUUACUGGGCGUAAAGAGCUCGUAGGUGGUUUGUCGCGUUGUUCGUGAAAACCGGGGGCUUAACCCUCGGCGUGCGGGCGAUACGGGCAGACUUGAGUACUGCAGGGGAGACUGGAAUUCUGGUGUAGCGGUGGAAUGCGCAGAUAUCAGGAGGAACACCGGUGGCGAAGGCGGGUCUCUGGGCAGUAACUGACGCUGGAGGAGCGAAAGCGUGGGGAGCGAACAGG
rnacentral:rRNA from 1 species